CCUGGUAGGAGAUGAGUUGUUUGUGGUGAUGGAGUACCUUGCUGGAGGAUCACUCACUGAUGUGCCCUCAUGUCAGAACCUGGAAUAUGGACGCUGGACUCUUAAACACAGAUGUGGGGUCACUGGGCCCCAUUCACUCCUCAUCGUGACCACAUUGAGUAGCUGUCUUCAGAGGCCAGAAGAGGACAUCAGAUCCCUGAAGCUGGAGUUAAAGGUGGCUGGCUGUGAGCUACAACAGGUGGAUGCUUAGAACUGCUCUGGGUUCUCCGAAAAGCCAUCUCCCCAGCUCCGACCUGCAUGAACCCACACCACAUGCACUUCCUGAUGGCACACGAGCACACGCAUGCACAGACCCACACAAAAAUAAAGAGCUGGUAAGCUUAAUCAGGAAGUCACUGGUGAUGUUGGCAAGUGUGGUUUUGCUUCAAUCAGAGGGGAAAUGUCAGAGACAUCAAGGAGAAGCGCACACAUAUACAGACACUUGUUUCCAAGGGAACAGAAGGGAAAGGAGCGGCCGGCACUAAAGGCAGAAAGCCUGAGCGGAAGAAGAACAAAUUACUUUGGUUCCUAAAGCCAAAUCUGAGGAGAAACAGGCAGAAGAGAAGACAAAAAUGGUAAGAACAUACAGUCAGUGGGAUUCUUGCUCUGUAUCAAUGAUUUAGUUAUAAAUAUAGAUUAUUAGUCCUCUUUCUAUACAUGUAACAAAUGUCAAACUCACUACCAUGAAUUUCUAAAGUUGACUCUUUCACAUUUGUUAAAAAAGGUAAAAAUCACAUACUUUCCCCUUUCAGUUUAAACUGAAAUACUACAUGUACAACAGCUGGUCCUAACUUCUAUAAAAAGUUAAAACAUGUCAAGCUCCUUUGCCAAUAUAAAGAGCUACAUAAUUCCUAUCACACUUGCCUUGAAUUUAGGCACAAGAAGAACUCAAAGAAACAAUUCAGAAGGAACGGGUCAGGGGAAAGGAAGGCUACAAAAGAGAGAGAAGACCAGAAGACAAAAUACUCAGAAAAACUCGAAUCUGACAUUCAAGUAUGGAAAUACCCCAAAGGAGACAACCAACAGGAUCUACUGUAGUGACAGUCAUCACAACAGCAUGCACACGUCAAGCGCUGUCUGCGGGAAAUGUAAGGCUAGCGAUGCAGUCCACGACUCCUUUUGGACCCUAAAGCAGGGGCUCAUCUGGAAGUCAUAAUCCUCUUACUGCAAUUUCUCUUGGUCAUCUUUAGUAAAUAGUAGUUUGCUUGUUUUUCUCCA